rnacentral:rRNA from 1 species
CCUACGGGGGGCAGCAGUGAGGAAUAUUGGUCAAUGGCCGGAAGGCUGAACCAGCCAUGCCGCGUGAAGGGCAGGGACCUAUGGGCGUUAAACUUCGUUUGUGCGGGAGCAAGAAUGGUCACGGGUGGCCAGACGAGAGUACCGUAGGAAUAAGCAACGGCUAACUCCGGGCCAGAAGCCGCGGUAAGACGGGGGAUGCAAGAGUUAUCCGGAUUUAUUGGGGUUCAAGGGUGCGUAGGCUGUUAGGGAAGGCAGCGGUGAAAUGCCCCCGCUCAACGGGGUGAAGUGCCAUUGAUACUGCCUUGCUGGACUGCGGAUGCCGUGGGAGGAAUGUGUGGUGUAGCGG